GACGAACGCUGGCGGCGCGCUUAACACAUGCAAGUCGAACGGAAAGGCCUGCUUUCCCUUGUGGAUUGCGGGUACUCGAGUGGCGAACGGGUGAGUAACACGUGAGUGAUCUGCCCCCAACUUGGGUAUAAGCCUGGGAAACUGGGUCUAAUUCCCGAUAGGACUGCAGGGUGGUGCCUGUGGUGGAAAACGAUUUUCUAGUGGUUGGGGAUGAGCUCGCGGCCUAUCAGCUUGUUGGUGGGGUAAUGGCCUACCAAGGCGGCGACGGGUAGCCGGCCUGGGAGGGUGGACGGCCACAUUGGGACUGAGAUACGGCCCAGACUCCUACGGGAGGCAGCAGUGGGGAAUAUUGCACAGUGGGCGGAAGCCUGAUGCAGCGACGCCGCGUGGGGGAUGACGGCCUUCGGGUUGUAAACUCCUUUCGACCGCGAGGAAGCCACCUGGUUGGAAGGGUGGUGACGGUAGUGGUAGAAGAAGCACCGGCUAACUACGUG
rnacentral:rRNA from 1 species